CCGAUUGAAAUCUUAACUUUCUGAUUGCAUAUUAAAAAAAGACGGCAAUUAAAAAUUUUUUGUUUAUAAAAAACGUUGGGCAUAUCCAUGAGUCAUGGAUAGAAGUCCACAAAUAACUCUGUCCUUUCAAAAAAUGUAUUCAAGUCGAGCAAAUACAAGGACUUUUCUACAGGUUUUCCCAGUAGUACUCGUAUAAUACGUUCGAUUCACCACUUGCUACUGCUUGGCGAAUCCAAGGCAGCUGUUACAACUAGAAAUCAGAGAAAGUGAAAAAUCAAUAUAUAUAAGGUUCAGAUGUUUAAACCGUCGAAUUUAGAUUACCAAUCCUCAAAGAACUUUCAUCACAAAUCCCCUUCUCAACACACCAACCAUUAUUUUGCAACAUCCAAGUGAAUAAUGAAAAAACUAAAGAAAAAAGAAAUCAAUGAACUUAACUUCACAAAAGUCGGAAGUGGCAAAUGAAAAAAAAUUUUUUCUUCCAAGCCACUCAAGUGCAAUUUGCUCCCUGAGGUGUAAAUACACAACAGCGAACUCAGCAAAUUUUCAAGAAACCACCAACUGCAUAUCAAUGAGCCGCAAACACUUGUGCGAAAGUUUUCAUGUUACAGCGAAGUGAAUGGGCACAAAUUCGCCAAGAGUGCAAUGAAUGAUGGAAAGGUAAUGAAUUAGGAAAUAAAGUACGGGGCACAAAUAAAACGCAACGUUCGAAAGUUAUACUAAUUCUUCUUAAUUUGCUUUAAAUAGCAGACACAAACUUGACAAGCCGAUAUGUUGCAAAAGGAAUUUAGGUUUUCAUCAAGAUUAAACAAUUUAAUAAAUUGAUCUGGUUAGCUAUUGUUGUUGUUGUAAAAUAGAAGGGAGCAAAAAUUAUCACUUAGAUUAGAGGACUGCUGUCUAGUUCACAGCACUUUACCCUAUAUAAACCCCAGUCCAUUCCGGAGAACAAGCAUGUAGACUUCAUUUAACCCUUGAUUUUUGAUGAAGCAAGCAUCGGGAGCAGCAGCCCUUUAUGUGCAUCUUUUUGAAAACAUAGUUAAAACCUGAAUACUAACAACAACUAAAAGGUUUCCUGCACAAUCGUAAUUGAAAUAUCUUAUUAGUGAAGAGUUAAGUGGAAUUUUGAUAACGGAGAAUGUCAUGGAUUGGUUGUUGUUGUUGUUGUUGCGAUUAUCUAAACUCUAAUUAAAACGCUCAAGUGAGUUGUCAUCGAAAUCAUCUAACGAGAGGCCCAGCAACCGUGCGGUUUCAACGGCUCGAAAGAGAGGUGUUGAAUGAGUGGGAUUCAUUGGGCAUGCGUGAACUCACUGUAUGCAGGAUAUUUAGUACGUCGUAGUGGAUUCUGGAUGGGUAGCAGUUUAGCCUGAUAUAAUAACCAGAACCAAGUUAUGUAUUGAUCACUCUGUCUGAAAUGGGGGGGUGGUUUGAUUUCAAGUACUCCAAUCACUGGGAGGGAGUCAGUGAAUGUGUUAAUUGCGGUAGUUUGGUCGUUUCUUUCAGAAUAUUUUACCAUAUAUGUGAUAGUCUUAGACAUAAAGCAGGACGGACCAUCAUGUACUUGUAUUCAUAUAUGUAUGUACAUAUGUAUAAAAAAAAUUCGUUAUGAU